GAGGUACUUUCAGAUACAGCGUAUAGACUAAGUUCCUAUGCAUGAGACUUUAUGCCAACAAUUGUGAGGUCCCAGAACUUUCUCUCAGGAACUGUUUCAAUGACUGCUGUUUAUCAACGUGAAAGAAAGUAUCCAGGAGAACAUGGAGAAAAUUAAAACUUUGUGGAGAAUGAAAGCCAGCUCAGGGAUCAUUUCUAACCCCAUGCACAGGAUAUUUAUAGCCUCCCUGUCUUACUUGUUCUUUACCACAGUUCUGUGAAAUAGGCAUUAUUCCAAUUUUUUGAUGAGAAAAACGAAGCUCAAAGAAACUGUGACCUUCCUAAGACAGUCAGUGAGAGUGGCAUCGGAAUUCUGAUCCGAUCUGAUCGACACUGCUGAUGGCAAAUAUGAUGCUCUCCGCUAUGACAGACUGCCUCACUAUCUACCAUACAGCUGGAAGUGGGUCUUUUCUUGUCAUUCCUGAAGUGAGAAGUGCUUCUAAAGCGAGUGUCAACCUAAAUAGGUAAACUGAGGCAAGCUCAAAUUACCAUAAAUUGAGUUUAUUUGAGAAAAGCAGAAGAAUUGCAAUACAGCGCACGCAAACUGUAGCAAGCUACAGUUUCGUUUUCCUGAGGACGCAUGCGUGAGAUUCUCCAUUCGUAUUCUCCGGUUCCAUUUUAGUUUGAAAUCCUUCCACAUGAGGAAGCAGAUAUUACUUUCCCGCAAAGGAUUGAGACCAGCGGCAUGGCUAAGAAUCAUGGAAACAGUGGUAAAGACCAAUUCAAGGCAAAGCAAAUUAGCAAAAGAUGCAGGUAAAAAAGUAUGGAGGACUCAGCAAAAAACUUGCAUAAAGUGCCCUUACAGAUUGACAAAACCGCGUGACAAAUACCCCGUGGACAUUGCUGCUUCCUCUGCACUUUGUAUGGAGGUUCAUAUUAACCUCAUUAUCCAGUUAUUUGUAUUUUCUGGGCCCUGAUGUUCUAGCAUAUUCAGAUGGGAAAGGCCAAGAGAACUAAAAUGAUUGCAUCCCCUGGCCUCCUUGGUGGCUGCUGCAGAAGCCAGAUCCCUCCUCUGUGGAAUGCCAAUAUUUUGGAGUCCCCGGUGAAGUCCAGAAGGGGUAGGAGGAAUCAGAGCUACGUGGAUGUGAUUGAGUUGUGCUGAGGUUGGAAUGUGCUGACCUUGCCUUUGUCUGUUGAGUCUUAUGAAGUAUCUCCAGGGGUUUUUAAGGCCAGACAAGAAAAUGCUGUGAAGGCACAUGAAAGAGAAGUCUGUGCAGGGAUCCCCAACACAAACCAGAGAAAAUUUUCUGUAUCUAAAGGCUAUCUGCUUUGUUGCUUCUGGACAAAAGUCUGAGAGGAAGGGGAAGCAUGUGCUGCCUUCCAAAUGGAAAGGACCGUCGCAUCAGACUCUUGCGGGCAUGAGGUCCUUGUUGGUGGAGCUCUUCCCCAGCCAUGAGAAAAGAAACGGAUGACAAAGUCUUCUGAAAUGGAACUCUUCACUGCUAUCUGACUCUUCUAGAAGAUCUUCAUUUUUAGAAGAUUUUGUGUUUCAUCCAGAAAUCAAAUGUAAUUAUGUUGUACUUGGAAAUAUUUGAUUCAUAUCGGGUAUGAAAUAUUAAAGAUGAAAAAUGACUGGAAAGAUGAUGAAAAGAACUACUUAAACAUUAUGAAUAAGACAAAAUGCCUUAUUUGAAUUCAGUCAACACAGAUUGAGCCUUUUCAGCACUAGUUAAUGAGCCUACCUAGAUGAGGAAGACCCUGACCUUAUGGAUCCUUCAGCCCAGUGAGGUGGUCACACCACCCAAUGCAGUAUAAAAAAUAUGUAAUGGGGGGGGUCUGGCCCCGUGGCCGAGUGGUUGGGUUCACGCGCUCCGCUGCAGGCGGCCCAGUGUUUCGUCAGUUCGAAUCCUGGGCGCGGACAUGACACUGCUCGUCGAACCACGCUGGGGUGGCGUCCCACAUACCACAACUAGAAGGA
ensembl:lncRNA